rnacentral:rRNA from 1 species
GACGAACGCUGGCGGUGUACUUAACACAUGCAAGUCGAACGGUAAGGCCCUUUCGGGGGUACACGAGUGGCGAACGGGUGAGUAACACGUGAGUAACCUGCCCUCAUCUCUGGGAUAACAGUCGGAAACGGUUGCUAAUACUGGAUAUGAGCUUGCAAGGCAUCUUGUGGGUUGGAAAGAUUUUUUUGGUUGGGGAUGGACUCGCGGCCUAUCAGCUUGUUGGUGAGGUAGUGGCUCACCAAGGCUUCGACGGGUAGCCGGCCUGAGAGGGCGACCGGCCACAUUGGGACUGAGAUACGGCCCAAACUCCUACGGGAGGCAGCAGUGGGGAAUAUUGCACAAUGGACGGAAGUCUGAUGCAGCAACGCCGCGUGCGGGAUGACGGCCUUCGGGUUGUAAACCGCUUUCAAUUGUGACGAAGCUUUUUGUGACGGUAGCAGUAGAAGAAGCACCGGCUAACUACGUG